AAAUGUCUUGGUCAAGUUAUAAAGGGCGCGCGGUGGAUGCCUAGGCGUUUAGAGGCGAUGAAGGACGCAUCAAGCGGCGAUACGCUUCGGGGAGCUGCUAAGAAAGCUUUGAUCCGGAGAUUUCCGAAUGGGGAAACCCUUGUGGCUGAAAAGGCCACAAAUCCUUAUCUGAAUACAUAGGGUAAGGAAGCGAACGGAGGGAAGUGAAACAUCUCAGUACCUCCAGGAAAAGACAUCAAUAGAGAUUCCCCUAGUAGUGGCGAGCGAACGGGGAACAGGCUAAACCCAGAUCACUUCGGUGAUGUGGGGGUUGCGGGACUACAAUGUGAGAUUGUGAGAGAAUAGCUGAGCUGUCUGGAAAGGCAGGCCAUAGACGGUGAUAGCCCGGUAAGCGAAAUUCCGACACACUCUAGUAGAAUCCCAAGUACCACGGGGCACGAGCAACCCUGUGGGAAUCCGGGUCGACCAUGAUCCAAGCCUAAAUACUACUAAACGACCGAUAGUGAACAAGUACCGCGAGGGAAAGGUGAAAAGAACCCAGAGAUGGGAGUGAAAUAGAAUCUGAAACCACGCGCCUACAAGCAGUCGGAGGACUAUGCCUUACUUCGGUAGGGAAUGUCUGACGGCGUGCCUUUUGCAUAAUGAGUCAGUGAGUUACAGUCUGCAGCAAGGUUAAGGACUAUCAAGUCCGGAGCCGUAGCGAAAGCGAGUCUUAAUAGGGCGAUUCAGUUGCAGGUUGUAGACCCGAAGCCAGGUGAUCUACCCAUGACCAGGUUGAAGCGCAGGUAACACUGCGUGGAGGACCGAACCAGUGGAUAAUGCAAAAUCCUUGGAUGAGUUGUGGGUAGGAGUGAAAGGCUAAUCAAACUUGGUGAUAGCUGGUUCUCCUCGAAAUAUAUUGAGGUAUAGCCUGCGUGGAUUUGUCUCGGAGGUAGAGCACUGAAUGGGCUAGGGGUCUUACCCGACUACCAAACCUAAUCAAACUCCGAAUACCGAGAACAACACACGUGGAGUCAGGCGGCGAGUGAUAAUAUUCGUCGCCAAGAGGGAAAAAGCCCAGAUCGCCAGCUAAGGCCCCAAAAUCUAUACUAAGUGGUAAAGGAUGUGGGAAUGUUUAGACAGCCAGGAGGUUGGCUUAGAAGCAGCCACCCUUUAAAGAAAGCGUAAUAGCUCACUGGUCGAAUGAACCCGCGCCGAAAAUGUAACGGGGCUUAAGUAUAGUGCCGAAGCUGCGAACUUGUCCAAUCCUGCGGGAUUGGAAAGUGGUAGAGGAGCAUUCUGUAUGUCUGCGAAGGUCGAUCGAAAGAACGGCUGGAGAUAUCAGAAGAGAUUAUGCUGACAUGAGUAGCGUUAAAAUACGCGAGAAACGUAUUCGCCGAAAACCCAAGGUUUCCCGGGGAAGGUUAAUCCGCCCGGGGUGAGUCGGGUCCUAAGAUGAGGCCGAAAGGCGUAGUCGAUGGACAGCAGGUUAAUAUUCCUGCACCGCCUUAUGCACGUUAUGUAACGGAGGGACGGGGAAGGAUAUACCAGCCCACUAUUGGAUGUGGGUGUAAGUGUGUAGGGAGGUUCGCUUGGCAAAUCCGGCGAAUCAAUUCCGAGACACGAUGCUGAUGGGCGCAAGCCCUACAAAAUGGUUGAGUCCAUCCUCCUAGAAAAUCUUCGUUACUAGUGUAUUAGGUGCCCGUACCGGAAACCGACGCUGGUGGGUGGGAAGAAUAUUCCAAGGCGCUUGAGAGAACUCUGGUUAAGGAACUCUGCAAAUUAGCACCGUAACUUCGGAAGAAGGUGUGCUCAAUUGCUUGUAAGUGAACAACUGAAGGGCGAUUGAGUCGCAGUGAAAGGGUGGCAGCGACUGUUUAUCAAAAACACAGGACUCUGCAAAGUUGCAAGACGACGUAUAGGGUCUGACGCCUGCCCGGUGCUGGAAGGUUAAGGAGAGAGGUCAGCGNNNNNNNNNNNNNNNNNNNNNNNNNNNUAUAACGGUCCUAAGGUAGCGAAAUUCCUUGUCGGGUAAGUUCCGACCUGCACGAAUGGCGUAACGAUUGCCACACUGUCUCAACCAGAGGCUCAGCGAAAUUGUAUUGGCCGUGCAGAUGCGGUCUACCCGCGGCAAGACGGAAAGACCCUGUGCACCUUUACUACAACUUGGCACUGAACUUCGGUAUAAACUGUGUAGGAUAGGUGGGAGGCUUUGAAGCUUGGGCGCUAGCCUGAGUGGAGCCAACCUUGAAAUACCACCCUGUUUAGUCUGGAGUUCUAACUCUGAUCUGUCAUCCAGAUCGAGGACAAUGUCUGGUGGGUAGUUUGACUGGGGCGGUCGCCUCCAAAAGAGUAACGGAGGCGCGCGAAGGUACUCUCAGGCUGAUUGGAAACCAGCCGUUGAGUGUAAGGGCAAAAGAGUGCUUAACUGCAAGACAUACAAGUCAAGCAGGUGCGAAAGCAGGUCCUAGUGAUCCGGUGGUUCUACAUGGGAGGGCCAUCGCUCAUCGGACAAAAGGUACGCCGGGGAUAACAGGCUGAUCGCCUCCAAGAGUUCACAUCGACGAGGCGGUUUGGCACCUCGAUGUCGGCUCAUCACAUCCUGGGGCUGAAGUAGGUCCCAAGGGUUUGGCUGUUCGCCAAUUAAAGUGGUACGCGAGCUGGGUUCAAAACGUCGUGAGACAGUUUGGUCCCUAUCUGUCGUGGGUGUAGGAAAUUUGAGAGGACCUGUCCUUAGUACGAGAGGACCGGGAUGGACGUACCUCUGGUCUACCAGUUGUCACGCCAGUGGCAUGGCUGGGUAGCUAUGUACGGAUGAGAUAACCGCUGAAAGCAUCUAAGCGGGAAACUCGCCUCAAAACUAGAUUUCCCAACUCCUUUAGGGGUAAGAAGACUACACGUAGACUACGUGUUCGAUAGGCUGGGUGUGGAAGCGCAGUGAUGCGUGGAGCUAACCAGUACUAAUCAGUCGUUCGACUUGACCAUUUUU
rnacentral:rRNA from 1 species